CAAGGAUGUUAGAGAUGGAUUUGGAAAAGCAUCAGGUUAAUAUCUCAUUAAAUCCCAAAUUACAAGAAAGAUAAUCAACAAUUACAGAACAACAUGGAAAGAAGAUCUUACAAGGAACCAUGGAAGGAAGAAAGAUCACACCCUCUACAUGGGCAUAUCUGAUAUGGACAUGUAUGGUUGUGUUUUAUACCCGAGAAAGAAAGGUGAAGAUUAAUUAUAAAAGAGAGGACUGAAGACUGAAGACAUCACGCAAUUUCAAAGGAAACUCUUAGUAUUUCUCAAUCUUUAGUUUCAAUAACACUUUGUAAUUACCGACUUACAAUAGUUACAAAAGAGAAAGAUCGAGUCAACUUAGUUAUACCAAUAGAGGUAA
rnacentral:lncRNA from 1 species